UACAGGGGGUGCAAACGUUGCUCGGAAUUAUUGGGCCUAAAGCAUCCGUAGCCGGUCCUGCAAGUCUUCCGUUAAAUCCAGCUGCUUAACAGAUGGGCUGCGGAGGAUACUACAAGGCUAGGAGGCGGGAGAGGCAAGCGGUACUCAGUGGGUAGGGGUAAAAUCCUCUGAUCCAUUGAAGACCACCAGUGGCGAAGGCGGCUUGCCAGAACGCGCUCGACGGUGAGGGAUGAAAGCUGGGGGAGCAAACCGG
rnacentral:rRNA from 1 species